UACGUAGGGGGCAAGCGUUAUCCGGAUUUACUGGGUGUAAAGGGAGCGUAGACGGCAUAGCAAGUCUGAAGUGAAAGCCCGUGGCUCAACCGCGGAACUGCUUUGGAAACUGUUAAGCUGGAGUACUGGAGAGGCAAGCGGGAUUCCUAGUGUAGCGGUGAAAUGCGUAGAUAUUAGGAGGAACACCAGUGGCGAAGGCGGCUUGCUGGACAGAGACUGACGUUGAGGCUCGAAAGCGUGGGGAGCAAACAGG
rnacentral:rRNA from 1 species